GCACGAAUCCAUAUGGAAGAGAAACCAAAAGAGGAUUCUGGGGAGGCGAUAAUAAUAGUUAACAACAAUGAUGUUCUUGUUAACGCAGCUGCUUUGGUGAACGAUCCAUUUGAGGAGGAGUUGCAGAGGAGGACUCAAGGGUUGCAGACUGAGUCCCAGUUGUUGGAAUUCAUGGGAAGUUUAGAUGGAGAAUGGGCAAGCCAAAGGAAGAGAAGGAGGAUCGUGCCGGCUGGCUAUUUUGGCGACUUUUUGCCCAGAGGAUGGAAGAUCAUGCUUUCUCUCAAGAGAAGAGCAGGUCACGUGUGGAUAAUCUGUCGCCGUUACAUAAGCCCUGAUGGGCGACAGUUUGUGUCAUGCAAGGAAGUUUCUUCGUACUUGCUUUCUUGUUUUGGACUUCAAGAGAUAAGCAAUUUAGAUUCUAGUCAUACCGAUGGAAGCCUGCAGUUUCUGGGUAAAAUGGCGCCUGAAAAUGGUGUUGGUUUGCUCCCUACGAGUGACAUGAAGGCCUUGAAUAUUUCAAGUAAUUUGCUUAUCCCUAGCGCAUCUGCACCCGUUGAUCAUGCAAAUCAGGCCACCCUAUCAUCAUCAAUUGGAAGUGGUGAGAAAAAAAAUUCUGAUGAGAAUGUCAAUCAAGAUCUGGUUUCAGGUACUAAACCAGGAGGAGAUAGUGCAGCUUGUGGCAGAAUGUUUACUGGCUUCAACCAUCACGGAAGUUUGUUUAUUGAUGAGCGACCUUUGAAGGCUAAUCAGAAUGAUAAAAAUGCAGUUCAGGGAUGUUCUCCUGUGGAUGGUAAAGUCGGUAAUGAAGCUAAUGAGAAAUUGGAUGAGGUUCAUGAUGUUGCUUCCAGACCUGAUGCUCAUUUGGACGCCAGAAAUUUCUCCAAUAAUGAGAGUAAUGGUAAUUGUGAAUUCAUUGAUGAAAUAAAUGCUGUCAAAUGCAUGAAAAGUGGAAGUGGUAAUUUUGUUAAUCAAGAUGGAAAUACCAGAUGCCCUGAAACUAUUUCUUGUGGAAAUGCGCAACCAUUUGUUUUCAAAAGCAGUGGAUAUGAGCUUCCUGUAAGAUUGGUGGAGGAUUUUGGGGAGCAGAUAGAUUUUGGAAGUGGCAAGCUUCCUCCAAAUUUUGAAGAGAAAAGACGUGCUGCUGAUGGAUUGGAAGAUGUGAAUAUUAAACAUGGAAAUCUAUUUGAGAAUGACAGGUGGCUCACCAACUCAGGCAACUGUCACUUGGAAACUGAAGAUGUUUUGAACAGUUUUAAACUUGCUGGUAGUUCAGAAGGCUUUUCGGCUGCCCAUUCCCGUAUUGAGCUAAAAGAUGUUUCUGUUAAUAGCGUGAAAAGGAUAGGUGGACUAGAUAUUGAUCCUAAUGUCAAGGUGAUUAAGGAUUUUAAUGAUGAUCAUACUCCUCAUAAUGAGGGUGUUGUGACAAGCUUUGCACUGGAAACGAGUUCCUCGAAGGAGCAAGGUUUUGGUUGCAAAAUUGACAGUUUAUUUGCCAGAAGCAUUGAACAAAAUUUAGUUAUGCCAGCUGGUGAUGAACCCCCUUCUGCUUUUGAUAAUAAUUCAAAUAUUGCCUUCUCUGGCACCUUAGAUACACUUAAAACUGUUGAAGCGGCCUGCAAGAACCCUCCAUUAGACCUUGUGUGCUGCAAUAAUGAUGCCGCAGCAGAUGCAUAUAGUACCACAAGCAUGAUAAUGGGAAGGUCUGGUGGCCGUGUAUCUAGUCCUUUGAGUAGCAGUAUUCAAAAUAAAUUUGAGGGGCAAGGUCAUGAUGGAGUGGAUAAUGCUGAUAAAUUUUGCUUAACAAAGGUGGCUAAGGGUGACCAAGUUGAAGUAUGUGAGAACGAUGAGGCAUUACUAGCAUUUGGCCGCAACCAGAUUGAGUCAGGUGUUGAUAUGACAAGCAGUGGGUGGAAGAAUGUUUAAACAAGCGAUGGAUAGUAGUUUUGCAGAAUGAACUGGUUUCCACAAUCCUCUGCUUGUAUAUUCUCAAGUCACUAACAAGGAUAGUAUCCUGGAAAAGGACUGCAUUUGUGAUGUUGAACUCGGUCUUGAAAUGAGCCAAGUUGAGAUGAAUGACCUCGAGCGAUUGGGUAUUGCACAGGGAGGCUCUUCUAGCUGAUAUGGCGACGGAACUUGUACAACCAGCGUGACAGCCCAUCAUGACCUGAAUGCUGUAGAUUCCAGCACAAACGGAGACUGACCACCGCUAUUUAUCUGCAAAUUGGUUCGUAUACCAGUGACCAAUGCAACAUCGUUUCCCUACAAAGCUCUUUGGGCUUGAAUUUUUGAAAUCCGAUGGUACUGACUUACGUUACGUUCUUCAG